rnacentral:rRNA from 1 species
UACAGAGGUCCCAAGCGUUGUUCGGAUUUACUGGGCGUAAAGGGUGCGUAGGUGGCGGGGUAAGUCUGGUGUGAAAGCUCCGAGCUCAACUCGGAAAAGCAUUGGAAACUAUCCCGCUGGAGGGUCGGAAGGGAGACUGGAAUUCUCGGUGUAGCAGUGAAAUGCGUAGAUAUCGAGAGGAACACCAGUGGCGAAGGCGAGUCUCUGGACGACUCCUGACACUGAGGCACGAAAGCUAGGGGAGCAAACAGG